UACGUAGGGGGCAAGCGUUGUCCGGAAUCAUUGGGCGUAAAGCGCGUGUAGGCGGCCCGAUAAGUCCGCUGUGAAAGUCCAGGGCUCAACCCAGAGCCUGCAUCUAAUACUGACGGGCUAGAGUUCUGGAGGGGGUAGCGGAAUUCCUGGUGUAGCGGUGAAAUGCGUAGAUAUCAGGAGGAACACCGGUGGCGAAAGCGGCGUGCUGGAUCCCUUCUGACGCUGAGGCGCGAAAGCCAGGGGAGCGAACGGG
rnacentral:rRNA from 1 species